rnacentral:rRNA from 1 species
UACGAAGGGGGCUAGCGUUGCUCGGAAUCACUGGGCGUAAAGGGUGCGUAGGCGGGUCUUUAAGUCAGGGGUGAAAUCCUGGAGCUCAACUCCAGAACUGCCUUUGAUACUGAAGAUCUUGAGUUCGGGAGAGGUGAGUGGAACUGCGAGUGUAGAGGUGAAAUUCGUAGAUAUUGGCUGGAACACCGGUGGCGAAAGCGGCUCUCUGGCCCGGUUCUGACG